rnacentral:tRNA from 1 species
GGGGAUUUGGCUCAGUGGUAGAGCGCUUGCCUAGCAAGUACAAGGCCCUGGGUUCGGUCCCCAGCUCUG